AAAUUGAUUAAUCAGUUGACGCGGACAAUCAGCAAAUACUAAUCGCACCAAAAGUGCACACAAAAAUAAACAAACUAGUUUAGUAUAUCGAUUUGUAGUGUGAUAAGGGUUACCCAUUCGUGGUUCAAGAGGAUGAAUUUAAACAUUUUUUUCAAGUUCUUUGACAAAUUCAUCCAUAUCGAAAUCUUCUGAAUCUUUCUUCAAAUUAGGCAACAUAGAGUCUUCUAAAUUGAGUAUUAGUAAAGCGAAAAAAAAAUGAGUACUAUUGCACCCGCCAAAGUUCGUUAAACUCGUUGAGAUGCAAAGAAACUAACCUUUAGGAGGAGUGUUUUUAGUAUUGAGAUAUGCAAUUUUGGCAGAUUCAAUCAAGGAUUCUUGUCGGUGAUAGUUCUCAUCAAUCUCCUUCUGCUUUUGACAUUGAAUAUGACUCCUAUGCUCGUACAUUCCAGCACCUAAGCCAAGGACGAGGGCUGACCAGCGUAAUGUCUAUUCGUUAGAGAUGGUUAAAAAUACACAUGGAUAUUUCGUGAAACUAAUUCAUUAGAGGAUACCUUUACGUUUAUGGAAUUCAUUUUUAGAGCGUUAUAUCACUUUUGUAAAAGAGUGGGGAGUGUUCAAGUUCAUUUUGCAUCCGAGCACAAUCGAACUCUAAACACUUAACACGAAUAGUGC